rnacentral:tRNA from 1 species
UACUUAGUUAGUUUAUUAAAAAUAUUAAAUUGUGGAUUUAAAGAUAUAUCUUUAUACUAAGUC